rnacentral:misc_RNA from 1 species
UUUUUUUAGUUCUUAGAUGGGUUUUUUUUCGUUUUUUCUAGUUUUCUCAGUCUCCAAUAUGGAGUCAUAGUACCCCUCUUCUAGAUGGGGCUUUUAUUGAGUUUCUAUGGGAGCUUUCAUAUUGUAAUAGACUCCCUUGUUGUGUGUUGUGAAGCUCUUCGGAACACUGUCUGUUGGCAGAUUCGAAGGUGGGCACCAUAUGGGUCACUUGUGCCUAACCUUUCUCGGUUCGUCUGGACAUGGUCCAAGUCCCUGGUCUUAUUUGGUAGUCACUGCAUUUUCUCGUUCUCCAUAUGGGUCUGAAAGGGUGAGCAUGAAGGCUUUUGGGUCAAGUGGGUGCUCAUGCACUCCAUCCGAUGUUGAAAUGUAUCCCCCUGCAUGUAAGUUGUCCAAGCUACCUCACUGUUUCUCCUUCAAAUGCUUGUGUUGUUGGUGAAAGUUGGCAACUACGAUUGAUGAAUCAAGAAGGUUACUAAUGAAUAUGGUCUUCAGGUCAACCCGGUUAGUCUAGGGAUUCAUGUUCCUUUGGGCUUGGGUUGUAAAAAAAAAAGAAAAUUAUUCGCUCUACUUCAUGUAUGAUUGUAUGUACAUUCUUAUUCUGAUACUCAU